rnacentral:rRNA from 1 species
AGGGAAAGGCGAAAAGAACCCCGGCGAGGGGAGUGAAAAAGAACCUGAAACCGUGUACGUACAAGCAGUGGGAGCCCCACCACUAAGCCAGUGGUGAACUCCACAUACGCAUCCUUUGCUGAGGAUACGGUUAACGGAGCGAAAGCGACGUUCAACCUCAAAAGAAGCAGAGGGGGCUUAGUGGUGGGGUGACUGCGUACCUUUUGUAUAAUGGGUCAGCGACUUAUAUUCUGUAGCAAGGUUAACCGAAUAGGGGAGCCGGAGGGAAACCGAGUCUUAACCGGGCGUUAAGUUGCAGGGUAUAGACCCGAAACCCGGUGAUCUAGCCAUGGGCAGGUUGAAGGUUGGGUAACACUAACUGGAGGACCGAACCGACUAAUGUUGAAAAAUUAGCGGAUGACCUGUGGCUGGGGGUGAAAGGCCAAUCAAACCGGGAGAUAGCUGGUUCUCCCCGAAAGCUAUUUAGGUAGCGCCUCGUGAAUUCAUCUCCGGGGGUAGAGCACUGUUUCGGCUAGGGGGCCAUCCCGGCUUACCAACCCGAUGCAAACUGCGAAUACCGGAGAAUGUUAUCACGGGAGACACACGGCGGGUGCUAACGUCCGUCGUGAAGAGGGAAACAACCCAGACCGCCAGCUAAGGUCCCAAAGUCAUGGUUAAGUGGGAAACGAUGUGGGAAGGCCCAGACAGCCAGGAUGUUGGCUUAGAAGCAGCCAUCAUUUAAAGAAAGCGUAAUAGCUCACUGGUCGAGUCGGCCUGCGCGGAAGAUGUAACGGGGCUAAACCAUGCACCGAAGCUGCGGCAGCGACGCUGAUGCGUUGUUGGGUAGGGGAGCGUUCUGUAAGCCUGCGAAGGUGGCCUGUGAGGGUUGCUGGAGGUAUCAGAAGUGCGAAUGCUGACAUAAGUAACGAUAAAGCGGGUGAAAAGCCCGCUCGCCGGAAGACCAAGGGUUCCUGUCCAACGUUAAUCGGGGCAGGGUGAGUCGACCCCUAAGGCGAGGCCGAAAGGCGUAGUCGAUGGGAAACGGGUUAAUAUUCCCGUACUUGGUGUUACUGCGAAGGGGGGACGGAGAAGGCUAUGUUGGCCGGGCGACGGUUGUCCCGGUUUAAGCGUGUAGGUGUGUGUUCCAGGUAAAUCCGGUUCACUUUAACACUGAGGCGUGAUGACGAGGCACUACGGUGCUGAAGCAACAAAUGCCCUGCUUCCAGGAAAAGCCUCUAAGCAUCAGGUAACAUCAAAUCGUACCCCAAACCGACACAGGUGGUCAGGUAGAGAAUACCAAGGCGCUUGAGAGAACUCGGGUGAAGGAACUAGGCAAAAUGGUGCCGUAACUUCGGGAGAAGGCACGCUGACACGUAGGUGAAGUGAUUUACUCAUGGAGCUGAAGUCAGUCGAAGAUACCAGCUGGCUGCAACUGUUUAUUAAAAACACAGCACUGUGCAAACACGAAAGUGGACGUAUACGGUGUGACGCCUGCCCGGUGCCGGAAGGUUAAUUGAUGGGGUCAGCGCAAGCGAAGCUCCUGAUCGAAGCCCCGGUAAACGGCGGCCGUAACUAUAACGGUCCUAAGGUAGCGAAAUUCCUUGUCGGGUAAGUUCCGACCUGCACGAAUGGCGUAAUGAUGGCCAGGCUGUCUCCACCCGAGACUCAGUGAAAUUGAACUCGCUGUGAAGAUGCAGUGUACCCGCGGCAAGACGGAAAGACCCCGUGAACCUUUACUAUAGCUUGACACUGAACAUUGAGCCUUGAUGUGUAGGAUAGGUGGGAGGCUUUGAAGUGUGGACGCCAGUCUGCAUGGAGCCGGCCUUGAAAUACCACCCUUUAAUGUUUGAUGUUCUAACGUGGACCCGUGAUCCGGGUUGCGGACAGUGUCUGGUGGGUAGUUUGACUGGGGCGGUCUCCUCCUAAAGAGUAACGGAGGAGCACGAAGGUUGGCUAAUCCUGGUCGGACAUCAGGAGGUUAGUGCAAUGGCAUAAGCCAGCUUGACUGCGAGCGUGACGGCGCGAGCAGGUGCGAAAGCAGGUCAUAGUGAUCCGGUGGUUCUGAAUGGAAGGGCCAUCGCUCAACGGAUAAAAGGUACUCCGGGGAUAACAGGCUGAUACCGCCCAAGAGUUCAUAUCGACGGCGGUGUUUGGCACCUCGAUGUCGGCUCAUCACAUCCUGGGGCUGAAGUAGGUCCCAAGGGUAUGGCUGUUCGCCAUUUAAAGUGGUACGCGAGCUGGGUUUAGAACGUCGUGAGACAGUUCGGUCCCUAUCUGCCGUGGGCGCUGGAGAACUGAGGGGGGCUGCUCCUAGUACGAGAGGACCGGAGUGGACGCAUCACUGGUGUUCGGGUUGUCAUGCCAAUGGCACUGCCCGGUAGCUAAAUGCGGAAGAGAUAAGUGCUGAAAGCAUCUAAGCACGAAACUUGCCCCGAGAUGAGUUCUCCCUGAGACUUAGAGUCUCCUGAAGGAACGUUGAAGACGACGACGUUGAUAGGCCGGGUGUGUAAGCGCAGCGAUGCGUUGAGCUAACCGGUACUAAUGAACCGUGAGGCUUAACCUU